CUGACGAUGCUUUUCAUACUUUCCUGGAACUUGACACUGUUAUUUAUUUGGCAGUCUAUGGGACAGUCUCAAGCCUCCCUGUUUUCAUCCAAAAUAUCUUAAAUUGUGUUCUGAAGAUGAAUGAAGCUUUUACAGGUUUGGAACGACAUGGGGGUAAGUGAAUAAUGGCAAAAUUUUCAUUUUAGGAUGGAGUAUCCCUUUAAAUAUCCACUGUCUGUGCCAUCAAAUGGCACUGAAGAAUGGGCACAUUCACUGCAUAAAGACAAGUGCUGCAUAAACUAAGAAGUUUUAAUAAAAUACACAAAUAGACAAUGUUAGGAUUCGUCCUGUGUUGCGUGUAUAUUUCUAAACAGUUCUAAACUGUGUAUUUGUAUUUCUAGCUCAUUGUUUACAUCCUUAUUAGGACCAUAUUGUAAUAUAUACAUAAAUAUUGCCAAAUAAGAAUGUAUGUUGAACAAGGUGUCAGAUACAUGUAGUUAAUUCAUGUACAGUGUCAUUUAUAUGAUGUUGGUUAUUUUUGAUUUUUUUUUUUUUAAUUGAACUUAAAUUUCAUUGAUAUAUAUAUAUAUAUAUAUAUAUAUAUAUAUAUAUAUACAUAUUUUGAUGUGUCUGUUUUAAAAGAGUGACUCUGAACCAACACAUUUUAAAGUUUUAUAUACUGUAUUAUUGUACCCCACAUUAUGGCUUUAACCUGUCCUUACAUUUGCAUGGUGACUUAAUACUGUAUGUACUGUAACUAAAUGAUUUGUUUUGUUUUGCUUUUCUUUUGUAAAUGAUUCCUUUAAUAGUGAUGGCUGGUCCCUUGAUUUAUUCUCUGUUUCAUUCUGCGGAAUCAACCGAAUAAUCAUUCAAUCUUUUUACCCCUGAAAAUAGGUAUUUGUGAGAGAGAGAAAGCAACAGAUCAUAGAGACACUUGCUUUAUUAGUGCUCUAAACCAGAUAUGGUGCAUCAGAGAAAUAGCUUUUCGGUUUAACCUGUUGACAGAAAUUUGGAAGUUUUGCCUUGUGGGGUUUUGUUUAGCAAUGUAUUUUGACUGAGGAUGAUAUGUCUUAAUAUAUAUUGAAAUAAAUGUUUGGUAUCACAGUCAAAA
ensembl:lncRNA